AAAAAGUGGAAGUGUCUUUUUCUUUAAGCGUUUUUAUUAUCUUUUUUUUAAGAUCAUGUUAUGUUUUAGUUUGUUGUCAUGUACGAAAUCGUGGUCAAAUUUAUGCAAUGUACUGAUGUUCUAUUAGAUGGUGAUUUAUAAAAUUGAAUUAGUUAUUAGUUAAAUAUUUGUUCGUCAUUUUACUUUGACUUUUUUUAGUGAAAGUUGUAAAACAAUCAUUAGUGUCGGUCAGUGGUAUUUGAAUAUCGUUUCGAUCAUCUGUUACCGGCGCCACCAUGCAGGCUUACCUAAAAUUUAUUUAUUAUUUAAGUUUCCGCUGCUUUUCGAUAGAAAGCGCUAGUGCUUCCGCGUUUAUAUUAAAAUUGAAUGAUUUGUGUUUAAAUUAUAAUAAUAUAUUUGAAAUUGAUAAUAUAAAGGUUGAUGCGUGUUUUUGGUUUGAGGAUUUUGGGAGGAAUGAAUGUUCAUAAAAGCAAUUCCAAUUUGUUUUAAACAUGACAAAUGAACAGAUAAAUAUGGUUCGAAAAAGGUGGCGGUGAGAAUAAUCUUGACAGCGUAAUCUUCCUUAUCGACAUCGACGUCGGCCGCCACAUCUUUUGCUGUUGUUGUUGAGCCAGUUUAAGCUGGGUGGACGUUUCGCUUUGAGGUCCAUCGUUGUUCCCUUUUCUGAGAGGGGUUGGGGGUCUGUCGCCGGCCUCGAAGUUCCUCUUGGGGUUGUCCGCUUCUUGGGGUUCUUUCCGUCGCCUCCAUCGGCCCGAUACCGGCGGGCAGGGAAAAAGGAGUAAGAUAUUUGCAGGAUAUUGAAAGGAAUCCAUGACACCUGAUAUGGAUUUGAAAUAGAAUUUGAUGAAUUUUUUGAUUUUGCCGAGUUCCUAGACAUCCUGAUGUCUUCUCUCUGUUAUAUUUUUUUCAGAAACUAUGCCUUUGAGAUUCUG